rnacentral:lncRNA from 1 species
GAAAAGACAGAAGUUAGAAUGUGGAUAGUCACCGUAAUAUAGUUUAUUUAUAAUUUUUUUUUUCUUUUUUCUAAACUUGUAUAAGGAAUAAUUUGGCUUUCCCCAAUCUAUGGCUACCGAUGAGUAUUGCCAUAUGAAUCGGUCCUCCACCCAACCAAAUACAUAUAAUUGUUUUCUCUUCCAAUCUUAGGGUUCCUCCUGCGUUCUUCAAAUAAGGUUAUUUCAGCAAACGAGGUUGUUUGAAAAUGGGUGAUGUUGAACCAGUUGAUCAAAAGAAGUACUUGGAAGAUUCUAGCAAGCCCAAGUGUGUUAGACCUCUCAUCGAGUAUCAGGCAUGUGUAAAACGAAUAGAAGGAGACGAAACUCGAGAAAAGCAUUGUACUGGACAAUACUUCGAUUAUUGGCAUUGUAUUGACCGAGCUGUUGCACCGAAGCUAUUUGACAAACUCAAGUGAAAGAAGAGAUGAUUCUCAGGACAUUAGGAUUACAUCUCGCUUACUGGUUCUUGGUUUCCUUAAAGUAAAUUCACCUGCAUCGGCUUUCUUGGUACUGUAGUCGUGUAGUUGAUACUUAAUAAGUAGCAUCUCAUCUCCAUGAUGAAGUUUAAUCUUCAUCAAUUCACUUGUUUUGUUUUGUUUUGUUUUUUUUUUUUUUUUGGUGUCGGGAUAAGAAAAUGAGACGCGGUUUCUUUUGUUUAUGAAGUAAUAAGGUACCAAACGUUUGACCCUUGUGAUUCGAGUAGAUCCAAUAGUAUAAAGUUGUAUGGAGUACGGACCUUCAUAACCGCAUAGAGAAGCGACAAGAAAAUCUAGGAACUUUGUUUCAUUGAUGCUUCAUAUGAGAUCAAAGCCCUCUUGUAUAAUGCUCAACUUGUACUUCACAAUGAUAAACAUUUCAAAAUGUGAUGCAAGUUGU